rnacentral:rRNA from 1 species
UACAGAGGUCCCAAGCGUUGUUCGGAUUCACUGGGCGUAAAGGGUGCGUAGGCGGUUUGUCGCGUCUGCUGUGAAAACCCGAGGCUCAACCUCGGGCCUGCAGUGGGUACGGGCAGACUGGAGUACUGCAGGGGAGACUGGAAUUCCUGGUGUAGCGGUGGAAUGCGCAGAUAUCAGGAGGGAACACCGGUGGCGAAGGCGGGUCUCUGGGCAGUAACUGACGCUGGAGGAGCG